GAUCCUGGCUCAGGACGAACGCUGGCGGCGUGCUUAACACAUGCAAGUCGAACGAAGAGCGAUGGAAGCUUGCUUCUAUCAAUCUUAGUGGCGAACGGGUGAGUAACGCGUAAUCAGCCUGCCCUUCAGAGGGGGACAACAGUUGGAAACGACUGCUAAUACCGCAUACGAUCCAACCUCGGCAUCGAGGAUGGAUGAAAGGUGGCCUCUAUUUAUAAGCUAUCACUGAAGGG
rnacentral:rRNA from 1 species